rnacentral:tRNA from 1 species
GGAGGGUAUAGCUCAGUGGUAGAGUGCAUGCUUAGCAAGCAUGAGGUCCUGGGUUCAAUCCCCAGUACCUCCA